rnacentral:rRNA from 1 species
CAAUAGCGUAUACUAAAGUUGUUGCAGUUAAAAAGCUCGUAGUUGGAUUUCUGUCUGAGAUGAACGGUCGGAACGUAAGUUCUUUGCACUUGUUAAUCAUUUUGGACUUCCUUGGUAUUAAUCUAUAUGGUAUUUAUUUAUCGUGUAGGGGAGUAUCAUCAUUUACUGUGAGCAAAAUAGAGUGUUCAAAGCAGGCUUAGGCCCGAAUACAUUAGCAUGGAAUAAUAAGAUAGGACUUUGGUCUAUUUUGUUGGUUUACAUUCCAAAGUAAUGAUUAAUAGGGAUAGUUGGGGGUAUUCGUAUUCAAUUGUCAGAGGUGAAAUUCUUGGAUUUAAUGAAGACGAACUACUGCGAAAGCAUUUACCAAGGAUGUUUUCAUUAAUCAAGAACGAAAGUUAAGGGAUCGAAGACGAUCAGAUACCAU